GGCUCAUUAUUGUAUUUUUAAAAUUUAUGUUUUUACCAAAACUUGUGUGAUAUUUGGAGGGGGGGUGUUUUCCAGGAUGACCUUAAACUUCCUGUCUUCCUGUGUCCUGGGAUUGUAGGACGCACCAUCAUAUCAAGUGCUUCUUAUAUACACCAUUGGAUGUGAAUGUCUUACAGAUUCUAGUCCGAUAUGCAAUGUAACUUAAUUUUUGGUGGCAAGGCUUGUGUCCCUGGCCAAAGGCAGUGUGUUGAGGCAAGUGGGUUGGGUUUUUCUGAUACAGAUUAAGGUUCAAGCCAUCCUUGGGUUUGAUUCUUUAUCAAAAUUCAGUUUUAAAUGAUCUGGAAACGGCUGGGGUUAUAGCUCAUUGUUAGAGCACUCAAGUGUGAGGCCCUAGCUUCGGUCCCAAGCACUAUUCUUUGUUAAAGAUUGGACAGUGUUAGUUUUAAGUAUUUAUUUUCUUUUUAGAUUAUUUAGUUAUUUAUAGUAUGUUGGUCGCAUGUGUAUACACAAUGCUCCAGUUAUGUUUUGUUUUGUUUUUUUUUUUAAAUUUUGACUAAAGAGAUGGCUAAGCAGUUAAGAGUACUUCUUAUUGGUCUUCCAGAGGACCGUGGCUCAUUUCCCAUGUCACAACUACCUAAACACCACAGGAUAGAGUGCCUCUGUUGUCUGUAGGAACUUGCACUUGAGUGCACAUACCCACAUGGCAGGCACACACACCUACUUACACAUAAGUUUUAAACAGACAAAAAAAAAAAUCUUCUUAUGAUCCUUUUUCCUAUUUAUUUAUUUAUUUAUUUAUUUUAUUUAUUUGGAAUCUUUAUAGAAUAGUUGUAAGUACCAAUAGUACUUUUUCUUUUUUUGUUGUUGUUGUUAUUGCUCAUCCUUAUAUAUAAUCAAUUUUAAAUAUUACAUUGUUUCAGUAACUUUAGGCUUGUAAACUGGGAGUCUUCCUAAAUACUUGCUGAUCUGUUGGACAGUGAAUAACCAAAUGGUUUCAUUAACUGAAACGAUAUCAACAUUUAAAAGUGUGUAGUUUUUAUAUAAGAACUGCAGUUGUAAUUUGGAAAAGUUUAAAGAGUUGGCCUCACCUUGAAGAAUGCUUGUAAGACAGGCCUUGUGGUGCCUGAUCAGGCUGCUCCUCUCAGCCUGUGUACCAUGCCACUUCUGACUCUCUUCAUAUUGAGAACUUGUUUAUCAGUUGCCAAUAUUGUCAACUUUUCCUAGUUGUUCUUGUUACAGUGGAAAAUAAGGUGAGUUUCACCUACACCGUGAUAAAAUUAGACAAUAAAGGACACACACCUGGGUUUUUUUUUUUAGAGGAGGUAAGCUGGUUUAACAUGUCAAGUGGAAUAGAAUUGGAAGAGUAGUUAGCCCAUUUUCCUUGAGCCUCCCUCUUCCUUCCCCAUAUGCAUUUGAAAUUGCUCUGCCUGAAGUCAGAAAUGUAGCUAUUUCCCAGAAGCUGCAUAUAAAAUCUGAACUUGAUGUGUAUGAAUUUCCGCCUCACCACCAGAGAUCUUUCCUGUUCCACUGAAUAAACAUAAGAGCCUUGUAUUGCUUGGCUUCUGCAUGUCAAUGCUACAUGAAUGAGAGAAAGGAUGUUAGUUCAUAUUUAUGUCUCAGGUGCUGUUUAUGUCUUGGUGGCUGGGUGCUAGGAGUUGAACUUUGAGUCUUCAUCCUUUACUGCUGAGCCAUCACUUUCAAGAGUGUAAAUGAAAUACCAACCAGAAUACAGCUAGUGUUUGUAUAUAAUGUUUUACCUAGGCUUUGUUCUGUGUCAUAGUCUGACAUUGUCCUGUAUCAGGUUCAUAGGUUGUAUCAUUUUAUAGUCUGUAUUAUUUGCCUACAUGAUCUGAAAUCUUCUAAAGACAGACUCAUUUUCAUUGCAUAGGUUCAUCUCAUAUGCCAAGUUCCUAUUCAUAGAGUAUAUUUAACUAUUACAUAUUAAGCUCUGUUGAUGAGCAUGCAAUAAACAGAAUUAAACGAAGUAACUGUGUUGAUGAUUUUUGGCAAUCUAGUAUAAAAAUAAAUGAGUAAAGAAAAUUAAUUCUUUGAAUUAGAAAGAAUAAAUGGCCAUUAAAAACAAAAAGCGUGAAUGUGGUCAUGCUUAGAGAGCAGCUAGUUACAGCAGUAAUUAUCAGUGUGAAAUGCUGAUCCUCCCCAGGGGAGUUGAUAUUUUAUAUACUGCUGAUGAAAGGGUAAACUGAUACAGCUCUUCUCCCUUCUUAAAGGGGCAUUUGAUACCUUCUAGUAAAAUAAGCUUUUAAUUAGCCAUAUUUCUCAUUAUCCUAGAAAACAAAUCUGCAAGGAAGUAAUUAGUGAGAUACUUGUUUCCUAUUUCUUAAGUUAUUGUUAAAAUUUCAAGCUAAGUGUUUGGCUGUCAAAGGCAUCGCUACAGUGUGGCUUAUCAGUAUUAUUUAUAAACAUUUUAAAUUGGUAACAUUUCAUCAGUUGUCAUUAACAAGCCAAGUAUAAGCAAACAGGUUAAAAAUGUUACCUUUUUAAUAGAAACGUGUUUUAUGUGCUUAUGUUCCUGUGUAUACAUUGCUGAUAGCUUUCAAAAUCAGAGUAGAACAGAGAAUUGGCUUAUUUAUGACUUGUGUUUGUUAGUUUUUAAGAAAAAUAAUUAUAAAUGUUUAUAGUUUUGUUUUUAUGAUCUAUAAGGUUCUAUUAGUUUAGGAAUUUUUGUUUUCUUUUUCUUUUUAUAUUGUAUUAUAUUCUUGAGAGCAAAGAGCCUAAGGUCUUUUUCUGUACAACUGAAAAUUUGAAUUAAAAUGUCUGUAAUUGC
rnacentral:lncRNA from 1 species